CCGGACCUGACUGCUAUCGGAUUGGUACUAAGCCAUGCGAGUCAUUGUAGCAAUACAAGGCGGACGGCUCAGUAACACGUAGUCAACCUAACCUAUGGACGUGGAUAACCUCGGGAAACUGAGAAUAAACCACGAUAGAUCAUGAUGCCUGGAAUGGCUUAUGGUUCAAACAAUUUAUUGCCGUAGGAUGGGACUGCGGCCUAUCAGCUUGUUGGUGAGGUAAUGGCCCACCAAGGCUAUAACAGGUACGGGCUCUGAGAGGAGAAGCCCGGAGAUGGGUACUGAGACACGGACCCAGGCCCUAUGGGGCGCAGCAGGCGAGAAACCUUAGCAAUGUGCGAAAGCACGACUAGGUUAAUCCGAGUGGUUCCUGCUAAAGGAACCUUUUGUCAGUCGUAAAACCACAGACGAAUAAGGGGUGGGCAAGUCUGGUGUCAGCCGCCGCGGUAAUACCAGCACCUCGAGUGGUCAGGAGGUUUAUUGGGCCUAAAGCAUCCGUAGCCGGCUACGCAAGUCUUCGGUUAAAUCCAACUGCUCAACAGAUGGGCUGCCGGAGAUACUACAUAGCUAGGGAGCGGGAGAGGCAGACGGUAUUCUGUGGGUAGGGGGUAAGAUCCACUGAUCCAUAGAGGACCACCAGUGGCGAAAGCGGUCUGCCAGAACGCGUUCGACGGUGAGGGAUGAAAGCUGGGGGAGCAAACCGGAUUAGAUACCCGGGUAGUCCCAGCUGUAAACGAUGCAACUCGGGUUGGAUGCCGUUGGCCUUAUGGCCCAACGCAGUGCCGCAAGGGAAGCCGUUAAGUUUGCCGCCUGGGAAGUACGGACGCAAGUCUGAACUUAAAGGAAUUGGCGGGG
rnacentral:rRNA from 1 species